ensembl:lncRNA
AGUGGAGGGAAGUGUAUCUUGCUGGAGAUCCCUGCAUAGCUGAGGCCUUCUGAAGGAUGACGAAGGCAAAGAAGAGGAACUCUGCUUUUCUUCAGGAGCCUUGCAAUUGAAACACACCUCUGGGAGAGAGGAGACCUGGCUUCAAAGCCUUUCAUUGCCCAGUAUUUACCACAUUAUAAGAAGGUGACAGCUCCUAUUUGCCUUCUGGGAAUAAGCUUUACAGUCUGCACCAACCGGGAGGAAGAAAACCUAAAAAUCCACUACUGCCUGAAGUUGAUCAAAGUCCAGAAUUGGUACCAUCAAUUCCCUGGCUAUUUAACAGUGGAAUGCAGCUUUAAAAACUUUGACUGUACACUCACUGGAGGGGAAAAUGGAAUUUGCUACAAAAGGGACUGUGCACUUUUUGAAUACUUUUCUGAGAAAUGUACUCUCUGGGAGGAAUGCAAACAUUUGGGGAAAAUGGGUUUAUGGAUUUGCAUGGCUGAAGACAUAUUCCAUUAUCCAGGUGUAUCUUAUUGCGUUGUGUUGAACAAGAGCUACUGUGCAGGUUAAAAAAAUGUUUCAUAUUGGAGGUCAAACUAGUCUCCAACUGUUAAGUUGUGUUUUCACUAACACUCCAUUGUCCCCUCUUCCUAUCUGAGUAUUUUGAGUUUUAGCUAUGAUGUAUUUUUCCAAAAGUACAGAUGGAAUUUAUUAUGAUUUGGACUAUUAUAGCAUUAUGAAAGUAUGACCUGUUUUUAAGUUUUCUGUUUCAAGAUUAUCCUACUUUUUUAACUCUUUGCACAGUGAAUUCUGUAUAUCUGAUGACUAUAAAGUUAAAGCUAACAUCUCAAAAGAAAUUGCAAAUUGUUAAUAAAUAAUGAUGUAGUAAAAGU